UUUAGACUCCGGAAUGUAUUGUUGCAUGUUUCACACAAAUGUAUAUUCUUGCAAUGAACCUUGUUGUUGUGAAAUUUCAAUCUUGACUCAAAAUGGAAGUGAGUUUAGCAUUCAUAGCAGAAUGGACUAGAUUUAUUUUGUUGGACUCUUUGAAGUUGCCUACAAUUUUUUUCUUUUGUCAUUUCUAAUAAUCGAUAGUGUUUGAAGUGAUUGGAUUGAUU
rnacentral:lncRNA from 1 species